AAAGAAUAGUAACAUCUCGGUUUUCGCAUCGAUGAAGAACGUAGCGAAAUGCGAUACUUGGUGUGAAUUGCAGAAUCCCCUCAACCAUCGAGUCUUUGAACGCAAAUUGCGCCAAAAGCCAUUAGGCCGGGGACACGUUUGCCUAGGCGUCA